rnacentral:rRNA from 1 species
UGGGGAAUAUUGCACAAUGGGGGAAACCCUGAUGCAGCGACGCCGCGUGAAGGAUGAAGUAUUUCGGUAUGUAAACUUCUAUCAGCAGGGAAGAAAAUGACGGUACCUGACUAAGAAGCCCCGGUUAACUACGUGCCAGCAGCCGCGGUAAUACGUAGGGGGCAAGCGUUAUCCGGAUUUACUGGGUGUAAAGGGAGCGUAGACGGCUGUGCAAGUCUGGAGUGAAAACCCGGGGCUCAACCCCGGGAUUGCUUUGGAAACUGUGUAGCUGGAGUACCGGAGAGGCAAGUGGAAUUCCUAGUGUAGCGGUGAAAUGCGUAGAUAUUAGGCGGAACACCAGUGGCGAAGGCGGCUUGCUGGACGGUAACUGACGUUGAGGCUCGAAAGCGUGGGGAGCAAACAGG